ACCGGGCAGCAGCAUUCUUACAUCUUGUCAAACUCAAUAAGGCUCUUGUUGAUGCUGAGACAACAAUCAAACUAAACCCUCAGUGGGAGAAGGGACACUUCAGGAAAGAUUGUGUUUUGGAGGCAAUGGAGAGACAUGAAGAUGCUAUCAUUUCAUUUCAAAAAGCCUUGAAGUUUAAUCCAAAGAGCUUAGAAGUAUCCAAGAAGAUCAAGAGGCUCACACAAUUAGCAAUAGAAAAGAAGCAAGCUGAAGAACGCGAGAGUAUCAGG